AUAUAGUUAUCCUACUUGGAUAACUGUGGCAAUUCUAGAGCUAAUACAUGCAAAAAAGCUCCGCCCGCAAGGAACGAGCGCAUUUAUUAGAAUAAAAACCAAUCGGGUUUCGGCCCGUAAUUUGGUGAAUCUGAAUAACUUUGCCAAUCGCACAGUCCUAGUACUGGCGAUGUAUCUUUCAAGUGUCUGCCUUAUCAACUUUCGAUGGUAGGUUAUACGCCUACCAUGGUAGUAACGGGUAACGGAGAAUAAGGGUUCGACUCCGGAGAGGGAGCCUGAGAAACGGCUACCACAUCCAAGGAAGGCAGCAGGCGCGCAAAUUACCCACUUCCAGAACGGAGAGGUAGUGACGAAAAAUAACGAGACAGUCCUCUUCGAGGUCUGUCAUCGGAAUGGGUACAAUUUAAAUCCUUUAACGAGGAUCUAUUGGAGGGCAAGUCUGGUGCCAGCAGCCGCGGUAAUUCCAGCU
rnacentral:rRNA from 1 species